UUCACAUAACCUUUUUUACCUUUUUCUUGAUUUCAAUCAACCAAACACACACAACAUGUAAACCAGUAAUGGACACCAAAUAAGACAACACAGUAUCGGGUUAAUCAUAAUAUCAACCAUAAUAAAAGAAACCAUGAUUCAUGCAUACGAAACCAUAAAAUAAAUACAUCAGACAUCAUGCUGUAUUUAAUACUGGAAAUUAAAUCAAAUAAUAACAGGCCAACACAGUGUCAGACUCGGGCUCCAUUGGCAACCUUAAUCAAUUAUACAUCUAUAAAGUCACACAGUACAGUUUAAUUAUUUAUUUAGCUUUAAUACCGUGAUAGGAAAUAGGGUGAGGGGUCCUUACCUGUUUCGGGGUCUGAAUACGGCUCUACAGUGCGC
rnacentral:lncRNA from 1 species